rnacentral:miRNA from 1 species
CAUCAAUCAUUCAGCUGUUUGG